rnacentral:rRNA from 1 species
GGUUAAGCGACUAAGCGUACACGGUGGAUGCCCUGGCAGUCAGAGGCGAUGAAGGACGUGCUAAUCUGCGAAAAGCGUCGGUAAGGUGAUAUGAACCGUUAUAACCGGCGAUGUCCGAAUGGGGAAACCCAGUGCAAUUCGUUGCACUAUCGUUAACUGAAUACAUAGGUUAACGAGGCGAACCGGGGGAACUGAAACAUCUAAGUACCCCGAGGAAAAGAAAUCAACCGAGAUUCCCCCAGUAGCGGCGAGCGAACGGGGAGCAGCCCGGAGUCUGAAUCAGCUUGUGUGUUAGUGGAAGCGUCUGGAAAGUCGCAGGGUACAGGGUGAUACUCCCGUACACUAAAACACACAGGCUGUGAACUCGAAGAGUAGGGCGGGACACGUGGUAUCCUGUCUGAAUAUGGGGGGACCAUCCUCCAAGGCUAAAUACUCCUGACUGACCGAUAGUGAACCAGUACCGUGAGGGAAAGGCGAAAAGAACCCCGGCGAGGGGAGUGAAAAAGAACCUGAAACCGUGUACGUACAAGCAGUAGGAGCCCACUAGUUGGGUGACUGCGUACCUUUUGUAUAAUGGGUCAGCGACUUAUAUUCUGUAGCAAGGUUAACCGAAUAGGGGAGCCGCAGGGAAACCGAGUCUUAACUGGGCGUUAAGUUGCAGGGUAUAGACCCGAAACCCGGUGAUCUAGCCAUGGGCAGGUUGAAGGUUGGGUAACACUAACUGGAGGACCGAACCGACUAAUGUUGAAAAAUUAGCGGAUGACUUGUGGCUGGGGGUGAAAGGCCAAUCAAACCGGGAGAUAGCUGGUUCUCCCCGAAAGCUAUUUAGGUAGCGCCUCGUGAACUCAUCUUCGGGGGUAGAGCACUGUUUCGGCUAGGGGGUCAUCCCGACUUACCAACCCGAUGCAAACUACGAAUACCGAAGAAUGUUAUCACGGGAGACACACGGCGGGUGCUAACGUCCGUCGUGAAGAGGGAAACAACCCAGACCGCCAGCUAAGGUCCCAAAGUCAUGGUUAAGUGGGAAACGAUGUGGGAAGGCCCAGACAGCCAGGAUGUUGGCUUAGAAGCAGCCAUCAUUUAAAGAAAGCGUAAUAGCUCACUGGUCGAGUCGGCCUGCGCGGAAGAUGUAACGGGGCUAAACCAUGCACCGAAGCUGCGGCAGCGACACUAUGUGUUGUUGGGUAGGGGAGCGUUCUGUAAGCCGUUGAAGGUGGCCUGUGAGGGUUGCUGGAGGUAUCAGAAGUGCGAAUGCUGACAUAAGUAACGAUAAUGCGGGUGAAAAACCCGCACGCCGGAAGACCAAGGGUUCCUGUCCAACGUUAAUCGGGGCAGGGUGAGUCGACCCCUAAGGCGAGGCCGAAAGGCGUAGUCGAUGGGAAACAGGUUAAUAUUCCUGUACUUGGUGUUACUGCGAAGGGGGGACGGAGAAGGCUAUGUUGGCCGGGCGACGGUUGUCCCGGUUUAAGCAUGUAGGCGGAUGUUCCAGGUAAAUCCGGAACGUUACUAACGCUGAGGUGUGAUGACGAGGCACUACGGUGCUGAAGUGACAAAUGCCCUGCUUCCAGGAAAAGCCUCUAAGCAUCAGGUAACAUCAAAUCGUACCCCAAACCGACACAGGUGGUCAGGUAGAGAAUACCAAGGCGCUUGAGAGAACUCGGGUGAAGGAACUAGGCAAAAUGGUGCCGUAACUUCGGGAGAAGGCACGCUGAUGGUAAGUGAAGUGACUUGCUCACGGAGCUGAAAUCAGUCGAAGAUACCAGCUGGCUGCAACUGUUUAUUAAAAACACAGCACUGUGCAAACACGAAAGUGGACGUAUACGGUGUGACGCCUGCCCGGUGCCGGAAGGUUAAUUGAUGGGGUUAUCCUCACGGAGAAGCUCUUGAUCGAAGCCCCGGUAAACGGCGGCCGUAACUAUAACGGUCCUAAGGUAGCGAAAUUCCUUGUCGGGUAAGUUCCGACCUGCACGAAUGGCGUAAUGAUGGCCAGGCUGUCUCCACCCGAGACUCAGUGAAAUUGAACUCGCUGUGAAGAUGCAGUGUACCCGCGGCAAGACGGAAAGACCCCGUGAACCUUUACUAUAGCUUGACACUGAACACUGGUCCUUGAUGUGUAGGAUAGGUGGGAGGCUUUGAAGUGUGGACGCCAGUCUGCAUGGAGCCGUCCUUGAAAUACCACCCUUUAAUGGCUGGUGUUCUAACGUGGGCCCGUAAUCCGGGUUGCGGACAGUGUCUGGUGGGUAGUUUGACUGGGGCGGUCUCCUCCUAAAGAGUAACGGAGGAGCACGAAGGUCAGCUAAUCCUGGUCGGACAUCAGGAGGUUAGUGCAAUGGCAUAAGCUGGCUUGACUGCGAGCGUGACGGCGCGAGCAGGUGCGAAAGCAGGUCAUAGUGAUCCGGUGGUUCUGAAUGGAAGGGCCAUCGCUCAACGGAUAAAAGGUACUCCGGGGAUAACAGGCUGAUACCGCCCAAGAGUUCAUAUCGACGGCGGUGUUUGGCACCUCGAUGUCGGCUCAUCACAUCCUGGGGCUGAAGUAGGUCCCAAGGGUAUGGCUGUUCGCCAUUUAAAGUGGUACGCGAGCUGGGUUUAGAACGUCGUGAGACAGUUCGGUCCCUAUCUGCCGUGGGCGCUGGAGAAUUGAGGGGGGCUGCUCCUAGUACGAGAGGACCGGAGUGGACGCAUCACUGGUGUUCGGGUUGUCAUGCCAAUGGCAUUGCCCGGUAGCUAAAUGCGGAAGAGAUAAGUGCUGAAAGCAUCUAAGCACGAAACUUGCCCCGAGAUGAGUUCUCCCUGACUCCUUGAGAGUCCUGAAGGAACGUUGAAGACGACGACGUUGAUAGGCCGGGUGUGUAAGCGCAGCGAUGCGUUGAGCUAACCGGUACUAAUGAACCGUGAGGCUUAACCUU